rnacentral:rRNA from 1 species
AUUGAACGCUGGCGGCAUGCUUUACACAUGCAAGUCGAACGGCAGCACGGGCUUCGGCCUGGUGGCGAGUGGCGAACGGGCGAGUAAUAUAUCGGAACGUACCCAGAAGUGGGGGAUAACGUAGCGAAAGUUACGCUAAUACCGCAUACGAUCUAUGGAUGAAAGCAGGGGACCGCAAGGCCUUGUGCUCCUGGAGCGGCCGAUAUCUGAUUAGCUAGUUGGUGAGGUAAAGGCUCACCAAGGCGACGAUCAGUAGCUGGUCUGAGAGGACGACCAGCCACACUGGAACUGAGACACGGUCCAGACUCCUACGGGAGGCAGCAGUGGGGAAUUUUGGACAAUGGGCGCAAGCCUGAUCCAGCAAUGCCGCGUGAGUGAAGAAGGCCUUCGGGUUGUAAAGCUCUUUUGUCAGGGAAGAAACGGUAGAGGCUAAUAUCCUUUGCUAAUGACGGUACCUGAAGAAUAAGCACCGGCUAACUACGUG